GCAAAACCGUUAAAUACCUUAUAGUUUUGCCAUCGCAUAUCUCCUCCGGGUGCAGUUUACAUGAGUAAAAGUCAAGAGUGAAUUUUUCAAAAGUCACGGAAAACAACAAGUUUGGCACCCACUUUGCUUCAGCCCCCUCCCCUCUG
ensembl:ncRNA C49F8.12 ncRNA